rnacentral:rRNA from 1 species
UGAACGCUGGAGGUAUGCUUAACACAUGCAAGUCGAACGCGAACGUCUCUUCGGAGAUAAUUAGAGUGGCGGACGGGUGAGUAACACGUAGGAAUAUACCUAGUAGUGGGGGAUAGCCCGGGGAAACUCGGAUUAAUACCGCAUAUGUCUUACGAGAUAAAGAGGGCCUCUUCUUGAAAGCUCUUGCUAUUAGAUUAGCCUGCGUCGGAUUAGCUUGUUGGUAGGGUAAUGGCCUACCAAGGCGACGAUCCGUAGCUGGUCUGAGAGGAUGAUCAGCCACACUGGGACUGAGACACGGCCCAGACUCCUACGGGAGGCAGCAGUGGGGAAUAUUGGACAAUGGGCGCAAGCCUGAUCCAGCAAUACCUCGUGUGUGAAGAAGGCCCUAGGGUUGUAAAGCACUUUCAAUUGGGACGAACAGUUUAAGAUUAAUACUCUUAGACCUUGACGGUACCUUUAGAAGAAGCACCGGCUAACUCC